rnacentral:rRNA from 1 species
UUUUAAAUGGCCGCAGUAUUUUGACUGUGCAAAGGUAGCAUAAUCAUUAGUUUUUUAAUUAAAAGCUUGUAUGAAAGGCUGGACGAGGUAAAAUCUGUCUCUAUUUAAAUUAUAGUAGAAUUUAACUUUUAAGUUAAAAGGCUUAAAUGUUAUUAAAAGACGAGAAGACCCUAUAGAUCUUUAUAGUUUAUUAAAUUAAAUUAAUUUAGAAAUAUUAAUGUUUUAUUUAAUUAAAUUAUUUUAUUGGGGUAAUAAAAAGAUUGAGUUAAUUCUUUUUUACAAUAAACAUUAAUUUAUGAAUAUUAAUGAUCCAGUUUUACUGAUUAUAAGAUUAAGUUACCUUAGGGAUAACAGCGUAAUUUUUUUAGAGAGUUCAUAUCGAUAAAAAAGUUUGCGACCUCGAUGUUGGAUUAAAGAUUAUUUUAGGUGUAGAAGCUUAAUAAUUUUGGUCUGUUCGACCAUUAAAUCUUUACAUGAUCUGAGUUCAGACCGGCGUAAGCCAGGUCGGUUUCUAUCUUUAAUAAAACAAAAUAUUUUAGUACGAAAGGACCAAAUAUUUGAUAUAUUUAUAUUUAAUUUAUUGAAUAUUA